rnacentral:misc_RNA from 3 species
AAGUCGUAACAAGGUCUCCGUAGGUGAACCUGCGGAGGGAUCAUUACACAAAUAUGAAGGCGGGCUGGAACCUCUCGGGGUUACAGCCUUGCUGAAUUAUUCACCCUUGUCUUUUGCGUACUUCUUGUUUCCUUGGUGGGUUCGCCCACCACUAGGACAAACAUAAACCUUUUGUAAUUGCAAUCAGCGUCAGUAACAAAUUAAUAAUUACAACUUUCAACAACGGAUCUCUUGGUUCUG